GUAGGUGGCAAGCGUUGUCCGGAAUUAUUGGGCGUAAAGCGCGCGCAGGCGGUUCUUUAAGUCUGAUGUGAAAGCCCACGGCUCAACCGUGGAGGGUCAUUGGAAACUGGAGAACUUGAGUACAGAAGAGGAAAGCGGAAUUCCACGUGUAGCGGUGAAAUGCGUAGAGAUGUGGAGGAACACCAGUGGCGAAGGCGGCUUUCUGGUCUGUAACUGACGCUGAGGCGCGAAAGCGUGGGGAGCGAAACAGGAUUAGAUACCCUGGUAGUCCACGCCGUAAACGAUGAGUGCUAAGUGUUAGGGGGUUUCCGCCCCCUUAGUGCUGCAGCUAACGCAUUAAGCACUCCGCCUGGGAGUACGGCCGCAAGGCUG
rnacentral:rRNA from 1 species